GACGAACGCUGGCGGCGUGCCUAAUACAUGCAAGUCGAACGCACAGUUUAUACCGUAGCUUGCUACACCAUAAACUGUGAGUUGGGAACGGGUGAGUAACGCGUAGGUAACCUGCCUGGUAGCGGGGGAUAACUAUUGUAAACGAUAGCUAAUACCGCAUCAUAUUGAUUAUUGCAUGAUAAUUGAUUGAAAGAUGCUAUUGCAUCACUACCAGAUGGACCUGCGUUGUAUUAGCUAGUAGGUGAGGUAACGGCUCACCUAGGCGACGAUACAUAGCCGACCUGAGAGGGUGAUCGGCCACACUGGGACUGAGACACGGCCCAGACUCCUACGGGAGGCAGCAGUAGGGAAUCUUCGGCAAUGGACGAAAGUCUGACCGAGCAACGCCGCGUGAGUGAAGAAGGUUUUCGGAUCGUAAAGCUCUGUUGUAAGAGAAGAACGGGUGUGAGAGUGGACAGUUCACAAUGGGCCGGUAUCGUCCAGAAAGGGACGGCUAACUACGUG
rnacentral:rRNA from 1 species